UGGGGAAUUUUGGACAAUGGGGGCAACCCUGAUCCAGCCAUGCCGCGUGUGUGAAGAAGGCCUUCGGGUUGUAAAGCACUUUCGGACGGAACGAAAUCGCGCGGGCGAAUAUCCCGCGUGGAUGACGGUACCGUAAGAAGAAGCACCGGCUAACUACGUGCCAGCAGCCGCGGUCAUACGUAGGGUGCGAGCGUUAAUCGGAAUUACUGGGCGUAAAGUGUGCGCAGGCGGCCUCGCAAGUCGAGUGUGAAAUCCCCGGGCUUAACUUGGGAAUUGCGCUCGAAACUACGGGGCUGGAGUGUGGCAGAGGGGGGUGGAAUUCCACGUGUAGCGGUGAAAUGCGUAGAGAUGUGGAGGAACACCAAUGGCGAAGGCAGCCCCCUGGGCCAACACUGACGCUCAUGCACGAAAGCGUGGGGAGCAAA
rnacentral:rRNA from 1 species